rnacentral:rRNA from 1 species
GCAUGUCGAACGAAGCUUUUGUGCUUAGAGGCGACUGGGUGAGUCACACGUACUUAAUCUGCCCUCAAGUCUGUGACAACUGUUGGAACCGCCUGCUAUACCGGAUACGUAAUGACCACGCAUGUGGAUAUUAUAGAAGUAGCAGUUGCUUCGGUAUAGGAUGAGAGUGCGCCAGAUUAGCUAGUUGGUGUGGUAAAGGCCUACCAAGGCGACGAUAAGUAGCGGGGUCGAGAGGCUGAAC